AUUGAACGCUGGCGGCGUGCUUAACACAUGCAAGUCGAGCGGCAGCGCGGGAGCAAUCCUGGCGGCGAGCGGCGAACGGGUGAGUAAUGCUUCGGAAUCUGCCCUUCAGUGGGGAAUAACCAGUCGAAAGACUGGCUAAUACCGCAUACGAACUGAGGUUGAAAGCAGGGGAUCGCAAGACCUUGCGCUGAUGGAUGAGCCGAAGUCGGAUUAGCUUGUUGGUGGGGUAAUGGCCUACCAAGGCGACGAUCCGUAGCUGGUCUGAGAGGACGACCAGCCACACUGGGACUGAGACACGGCCCAGACUCCUACGGGAGGCAGCAGUGGGGAAUAUUGGACAAUGGGGGGCAACCCUGAUCCAGCGACGCCGCGUGUGUGAAGAAGGCCUGCGGGUUGUAAAGCACUUUUAGUGGGGAGGAAGGUCUGCGACCUAACACGUCGUGGAAUUGACUUAACCCACAGAAAAAGACACCGGCUAACUCUGUGCC
rnacentral:rRNA from 1 species